GACGAACGCUGGCGGCGUGCCUAACACAUGCAAGUCGAACGGAAGUUAGAGCUUCGGUUUUAACUUUAGUGGCGAACGGGUGAGUAACGCGUGAGGAACCUGCCUUUCAGUGGGGGACAACAGUUGGAAACGACUGCUAAUACCGCAUAACAUAUUCGGACCGCAUGAUCUGAAUAUCAAAGCUUUAUGUGCUGAAAGAUGGCCUCGCGUCUGAUUAGCUAGUUGGUGAGGUAACGGCUCACCAAGGCGACGAUCAGUAGCCGGUCUGAGAGGAUGAACGGCCACAUUGGGACUGAGAUACGGCCCAGACUCCUACGGGAGGCAGCAGUGGGGAAUAUUGGGCAAUGGACGAAAGCCUGACCCAGCAACGCCGCGUGAAGGAAGAAGGCCCUCGGGUUGUAAACUUCUUUUACCAGGGACGAAGGACGUGACGGUACCUGGAGAAAAAGCAACGGCUAACUACGUGCCAGCCGCCGCGGUAAGAC
rnacentral:rRNA from 1 species